GUGCAGGAAGAUUCAUCUUAUGGCUGUGCUGUGGUGUGCCUGAUACACUCUCUGAUCUUUUAUGUUCAGAUCCAAAUCUGCACUCUCCCCAAAGAGAUCUGAUCUCUUUAUAAAAAUGCAUUUAGAUGUGCUAACCAAAGAAAUCAACAGAAUAUUGAUGAUUCCUGUUUUUAAUUCUCUUUAUUGCAGUGGCUGUGUUGGAGCAGAUGAAUGGAAAUCAAACCACCUUGCAGGUGGCAGGGGUACAAGAUAAUGCAUAGUAUUUCUUGAAAAAGGAAUUUCAGGAGCUGCUGUUGCUGUGGAAUCAUAUGCAAGAACUGAAAGUUGUAGGACAUUUUCUGAAGCAGAAGCUGUACUCUUCUCUGCUCCCUUUGAUUGUAUAUGGAAAUGAACAAAAGCAAGGGGGAAGAGGAGAGAAACAUGUUCAUUCCAUCUCUAGCAAUGGAGUUGUGUCAGUCAGACAGAAUGGAUUUAGCCUUAAUGUACAGAGACCAAGAAGUUCAAAAUGCACAGUAAUCCUACACCAGCAACACAGCAAAUUCAGCUCUCUCCUCUGUUUUCGUGAGUAGCACAGAAUGCUCCUGUCAACUUUCAGAAAAACUAAUGUGGAUGGCAACUAGGACUGAGAAAGAGAUUCUCAUAUACUCAGUCUGAAGCCAUUUUCUAAUGGACUGUAAAUAAAAGUUAAUUAAAACAAUGCCA
rnacentral:lncRNA from 1 species